rnacentral:lncRNA from 1 species
AGCUGUUGCAUUUCUUAGUCUUAAGAUGUUCACUCUGACACUGGAAUUUGAGAAAUGUCUGUUCAUUAAUAGCUUCAAGUUUACAGCAGCCCCUGAAUGCAGCCUUCCAUUCUGAACCCAACAAUUCAAUGGGAUGAACAAGCAACUAAAUCUACAUUAUGGUGGUGGUGUCAGUGAUGGAACAGGCUCCUGCAAAGUCUGACGAAUAUCUUUCCUUGCAGAUAUUCAAAGUGCUACUGGAUGUGACCAGGAGUAACCUGAUUUAACUUUGGCAUUAGCCUUGGUUUGAGUGAGAGAAUGGAGCAGAUCCGAUGACCCCCAGAAGUCCAUCCCCACUUGAAUUUUGCUAUGAUUCUGUAUGGAGACCUCAUUCUCUUGUUGAAAGAAGUGCAACUCUCAUUUUUCUGCUCCUUUGCACUACUGAAUCCUGCAGUCCUGCCCAAGACUGGAAGCCAGAGGGUACAGAACUGCUCCAGCAACACAGAGAUGCAGCCUGAGCAUUGUCUGGAAAAACUGCUUUUGAUUUCUGAAGCUCCCUUCUGCCUUGCCAUUAAUGCACAGCUCUUGGAUAAAUCUGUAAGAGUAACACUGUGGCUGAAUUAGAGAUAUGGAAGUUGAAGGUUCCUUUUAAGAGAGAAAGAUGUAUUACAAAACUGUAAAAUGACUGUAGGAUUAGCAUUUUCCUUUAACCUUUUCUCUUUCCUCUUCAAAAAUUUGAAUAGCUGACAUUCCUUGCCUAUUUUUUUCAGUUCUGAGGUGCCUAUUAGGAAAUGCAAAUCUAUUUAAAAUAUACAUAUGCCUCUGAAUAGACCUUGAGCACAAAGCAGAGUCCUAUCCUUUUUACAAGCCUUUUUCUGUAUCAAAUAAUACGCAGCCCCAGGCAGACACUAAAAUAUGUGUGAGGCAUUGGACAUGCCAUGUCCAAUUUGUGUUAAAAUUUAGAGACAAAAGCUACCUGGGCAGAGCACCCAUUGGGCCAGUUUUUAGAUGGGCUUUUUGAAGUUUUGUUGAAAGCAGGUUUUAACAGAGCACAAGAUUCAACACGAGGUAUUGUUCCCACAUCUCUUUAACUUGGAAUUUCACUACAUAUAAUCAACUUGAGUCCCAUAUAACUAUUUUUCUUCUUUGACUUGACAGACAGGCUAACAUUAAGAUGGGAGUGUUACUUAUUCUGAGAAGAACUAAAUAUUACUAGGCAUUUGAAAGAAAGGUAGCCCCCUGAAAUAAAAAGGUGAUAUUAUGGAAACUGCA